UUUCAAAGCCUGAUGAAGGAUGGAAUGAGCAGAACCUGACAGUUUUCACUGCCUGUGUUUAGCAGAGGACAAAGGUUUUGCUUUACCAGAGCUGCUCAGGCUGUUUGUCACCACAUCCAACAUACUCAGUGUCAGUGUGCAGUGGGAAAGGAUCUCAUCUCCAAGCUAUGAUGGCUUAGCGGCUGGAAGCCAGCACCUUUCUUCCACCAGAUACCGUCCAACCUUGAAUCCCACCAUCCAGAUUUGCAGAACAGUGGCCCGAAGCAAAGCUCUUCCUUGACUCUGAUACUUCUAUCCAGAUGAUGGGUUAGUUUAGACAGUAAAGAAUUUUUCUAACAUUACUAAUGUGAAGAAAUAAAGAGCUAUCAAACCAAAAUGUAACUGACGCCCAGUUGCCUUUUAUCUGGCUGUGCUUUAUUUGCACAAGCUGAAGAACUUCAUGGUGCCAGGAGGAAUGUGAUAGAAGUUCUUUGUCUCAUAAAUUAUUUUGGCCCAGUCUUCCCCAGGGAUAUAGGGCAUGAGAGCAAGAGCUGGCAGCAUGGGUUCUGCUCCCAGCUUUGGCACUGACCUGCUGCAUAACCUUGGACAACUCACUUCACCUCCCCUGAGCUUCUGUUUCCCAUCCUCUCUUUUGUCUGCCUUGUUUAUUUGGAGUGUCAACUCCUAGAGAAAGGAAUUCAGCCUCCCUGGCUGCUUGCAGAUUGCAUAGCAUGAGGGAAGCUCAAUCAGACUUGUUCCUGGGAGGUAUUACAGUAAAAAAAUUCAUUAUGAUGACUGAAAACUAGCAUUUGCUAAACAAUUAAAUGGGCGGUUUCAAUUAUUAAGUGGCAUACAUGAAUUAACAGGACAUCUCUGGCACUUCCCAGUGUUUGUCCACGGGUGGCGACUGCUGCAUCUUUCCUUUUCUGUGGCUACACCAAAGGCCACAGUCCCAUAAAUUCUGACAUCUUCUCCCUGUCCCAGCUGCACAGUGGGAGGAGUGGAAAGCAUCUGUUGGAGAAGAGGAAGAGUUCAUUGGAGGUAAUGAAGAAGGCUACUCUCGGAGUCCUCCCUUUGUGAACAUCUGGGCAGAUAACAGUUCUUCUGAGAAAGAUUGAAAGAGCCAGUGAGGCCUCCUGGAAAGGGCAGGGAAACCAUCUGCCUCAGAGCUGAUCAGGGUCAAGGGCAGAAAGGCCAAGAGAGGCUGUGCGGUCUAAUGCAGACCCUGUCACCUAGAGGUUGUAAGUGAAACAGAUUAAACCAAGGCUACCAAAGACUAUCUUUGAGUGAAACCGUGAGAUCCUUGAUCCCAGAAUAUACCUCUUUUAGGCAAGUACUGCAGCCUUGAAAUACAUUUAACCAUAUGGAUGGUAUCAAGAGAUGUAAUAAAAGGCUUGCCAUUGCA